rnacentral:lncRNA from 1 species
UUAUUAAACUUGUUCUUCAGCCGUCGAUGAUUGACAUGUUCUCCAUGUUCGAACAACGUAUCGAAUCUCGUGAUUUUUCAUGAUAUAUAUAACGUUAGAUCUAACGUUUGUUUUCUAAAUCCCGCGAUUUUUAUUAUGCACCUUUUGAUAAUUCUCACUUUUUUUUUAGUGUGAAAUUUUCACUUGAGAACAAUAAUACGAUGUCCCAAAAGACAAGAAAGUAAAUAAUUGUAGAACGUUGUAAGAGAAAUUAUGU